UGGGGAAUUUUGGACAAUGGGGGAAACCCUGAUCCAGCCAUCCCGCGUGUGCGAUGAAGGCCUUCGGGUUGUAAAUCACUUUUGGCAGGAAAGAAACGUCAUGGGUUAAUACCCCGUGAAACUGACGGUACCUGCAGAAUAAGCACCGGCUAACUACGUGCCAGCAGCCGCGGUAAUACGUAGGGUGCAAGCGUUAAUCGGAAUUACUGGGCGUAAAGCGUGCGCAGGCGGUUCGGAAAGAAAGAUGUGAAAUCCCAGCGCUCAACUUUGGAACUGCAUUUUUAACUACCGGGCUAGAGUGUGUAAGAGGGAGGUGGAAUUCCGCGUGUAGCAGUGAAAUGCGUAGAUAUGCGGAGGAACAGCGAUGGCGAAGGCAGCCUCAUGGGAAAACACUGACGCUCAUGCAAGAAAGCGUGGGGAGCAAACAGG
rnacentral:rRNA from 1 species